AGAGUGGAGAGGAAAUGGGAGAUGGUUACGCUUCCGAAAAGCACCUUUCAGAUUAUGCCUUCAGAGCUAAUGAUGGCACACACCUGCUAAGGAAGACUGGCUGCAGAAUGUCUCUGAUUCCCCAGCACACACCCAUGGGGGUUUCGCUCUGUUGCCCAGGCUGGAGCGCAGCGGCAUGAUCUCGGCUCACUGCAACCUCCACCUCCCGGGUUCAAGUGAUUCUUCUGCCUCAGCCACCAAGGCGGGCGUCCCAAAGUGCUGGGAUUACAGGUGUGAGCCACUGCACCUGGCUUAGAAAUCUUUUCAUUCUUUCAACAUGAAUCCUGCUCUUAGAAUCACAGAGUACAAAGCUUCCUGGUACAGGUGGGGAAACUGAGGCUCCGAGUUGCCUAUCUGAUUCUGAGGACACAGCACCCCCCACCAGCACACCUGGCACUUGCUUUGUAUAUUAGUGUCAUUCGGCACAAGUUAGUGGAAAAUAAAAGCAUAAUAUAUAGCUACAUUGAUAAUAUUUGAUAGUAUUUAUUGAAUGGUGACUGUAUAUUAGCCUCUGGCCUAUCUCCACACAACUAAUUACUAACAGAACUGGGAUUGGAGCUCUCAUUCCCUAGACUAGUGGUUGGCAAACUAUAGGCCUGAAGGCCAAAUGUGGGCCACCACCUGUUUUUAUAAAUAAAGUUUUAUUGGAACACAGCCAUACCAUUCAUUUACAUAUUCUCUGGCUCCUUUUGCAAAAUUAAGUAGGUACAAAGCCAACUGUGUGGUCUGGAAAGUUGAAAAUAUUUAGCUGGCCCUUUACAGAACAUGUCUGCUGAACCUUGUCCUAGAUUAUAAUUUUUUCAAGGCCAGAGACCAUGUCUAAUUUUUUUUUUUUUUGACAGAGCCUCACUCUGUGGCUCAGGCUGGAGUACGGUGGCAUGAUCUCUGCUUACUGCAGCCUUGACCUCCUGGGCUCAGGUGAUUCUCCUGCCUCGGCCUUCUGAGUAGCUGGGACUAGAGGUGUGCGCCACCAUGUCCGGCUAUUUUUUUUUUUUUUU
rnacentral:lncRNA from 1 species